GGGUUGUGAGGUUAAGCGACUAAGCGUACACGGUGGAUGCCUAGGCAAUCAGAGGCGAUGAAGGACGUGCUAAUCUGCGAAAAGCGUCGGUAAGGUGAUAUGAACCGUUAUAACCGACGAUGUCCGAAUGGGGAAACCCAGUGCAAUUCGUUGCACUAUCGUUUGAUGAAUCCAUAGUCAAACGAGGCGAACCGGGGGAACUGAAACAUCUCAGUACCCCGAGGAAAAGAAAUCAACCGAGAUUCCCCUAGUAGCGGCGAGCGAACGGGGAGCAGCCCAGAGUCUUAAUCAGUAUCAGCAUCAGGAGAACGGUCUGGAAAGGCCGGCAAUAAAGGGUGAUAGCCCCGUAUCCGAAGGUGUUGGUGUUGUGAACUCGAUGAGUAGGGCGGGACACGUGUUAUCCUGUCUGAAUAUGGGGGGACCAUCCUCCAAGGCUAAAUACUCCUGAUUGACCGAUAGUGAACCAGUACCGUGAGGGAAAGGCGAAAAGAACCCCGGCGAGGGGAGUGAAAUAGAACCUGAAACCGUGUACGUACAAGCAGUGGGAGCCCCACCACUAAGCCAGUGGUGAGUCAUCACAGCGUCAUCCUUACUUGAUGGCGGUUGGCGGAACGUCCUUUGUGACGCCCAACCGAAAAAAAUCAAGCAAAGGGGGCUUAGUGGUGGGGUGACUGCGUACCUUUUGUAUAAUGGGUCAGCGACUUAUAUUCUGUAGCAAGGUUAACCGAAUAGGGGAGCCGUAGGGAAACCGAGUCUUAACUGGGCGAAUGAGUUGCAGGGUAUAGACCCGAAACCCGGUGAUCUAGCCAUGGGCAGGUUGAAGGUUGGGUAACACUAACUGGAGGACCGAACCGACUAAUGUUGAAAAAUUAGCGGAUGACUUGUGGCUGGGGGUGAAAGGCCAAUCAAACCGGGAGAUAGCUGGUUCUCCCCGAAAGCUAUUUAGGUAGCGCCUCGUGAACUCAUCUUCGGGGGUAGAGCACUGUUUCGGCUAGGGGGUCAUCCCGACUUACCAACCCGAUGCAAACUACGAAUACCGAAGAAUGUUAUCACGGGAGACACACGGCGGGUGCUAACGUUCGUCGUGAAGAGGGAAACAACCCAGACCGCCAGCUAAGGUCCCAAAGUCAUGGUUAAGUGGGAAACGAAGUGGGAAGGCUCAGACAGCCAGGAUGUUGGCUUAGAAGCAGCCAUCAUUUAAAGAAAGCGUAAUAGCUCACUGGUCGAGUCGGCCUGCGCGGAAGAUGUAACGGGGCUAAACCAUGCACCGAAGCUGCGGCAGCGACAUUUAGAUGUUGUUGGGUAGGGGAGCGUUCUGUAAGCCUGUGAAGGUGUGCUGCGAGGCAUGCUGGAGGUAUCAGAAGUGCGAAUGCUGACAUAAGUAACGAUAAUGCGGGUGAAAAACCCGCACGCCGGAAGACCAAGGGUUCCUGUCCAACGUUAAUCGGGGCAGGGUGAGUCGACCCCUAAGGCGAGGCAGAAAUGCGUAGUCGAUGGGAAACAGGUUAAUAUUCCUGUACUGGUGAUAAUUGCGAUGGGGGGACGGAGAAGGCUAGGCUGGCCGGGCGACGGUUGUCCCGGUUUAAGGAUGUAGGUGGGCGAAUUAGGCAAAUCCGGUUCGCUAUACACUGAGGUCUGAUGACGAGUCACUACGGUGGCGAAGUAGCUCAUGCCCCGCUUCCAGGAAAAGCCUCUAAGCUCUAGAUUAUCAUUAAUCGUACCCCAAACCGACACAGGUGGUCAGGUAGAGAAUACUCAGGCGCUUGAGAGAACUCGGGUGAAGGAACUAGGCAAAAUGGUGCCGUAACUUCGGGAGAAGGCACGCUGGCAUUAGGUGAAGUGGUUUACUCAUGGAGCUGAAGCCAGUCGCAGAUACCAGCUGGCUGCAACUGUUUAUUAAAAACACAGCACUGUGCAAACACGAAAGUGGACGUAUACGGUGUGACGCCUGCCCGGUGCUGGAAGGUUAAUUGAUGGGGUUAUCCGUAAGGAGAAGCUCUUGAUCGAAGCCCCAGUAAACGGCGGCCGUAACUAUAACGGUCCUAAGGUAGCGAAAUUCCUUGUCGGGUAAGUUCCGACCUGCACGAAUGGCGUAAUGAUGGCCAGGCUGUCUCCACCCGAGACUCAGUGAAAUUGAACUCGCUGUGAAGAUGCAGUGUACCCGCGGCAAGACGGAAAGACCCCGUGAACCUUUACUAUAGCUUGACACUGAACAUUGAGCCUUGAUGUGUAGGAUAGGUGGGAGGCUUUGAAGUGUGGACGCCAGUCUGCAUGGAGCCAACCUUGAAAUACCACCCUUUAAUGUUUGAUGUUCUAACGUAGCCCCAUAAUCUGGGGUGCGGACAGUGUCUGGUGGGUAGUUUGACUGGGGCGGUCUCCUCCCAAAGCGUAACGGAGGAGCACGAAGGUUGGCUAAGCAUGGUCGGACAUCAUGCGGUUAGUGCAAAGGCAUAAGCCAGCUUGACUGCGAGAGUGACGGCUCGAGCAGGUACGAAAGUAGGUCUUAGUGAUCCGGUGGUUCUGAAUGGAAGGGCCAUCGCUCAACGGAUAAAAGGUACUCCGGGGAUAACAGGCUGAUACCGCCCAAGAGUUCAUAUCGACGGCGGUGUUUGGCACCUCGAUGUCGGCUCAUCACAUCCUGGGGCUGAAGUAGGUCCCAAGGGUAUGGCUGUUCGCCAUUUAAAGUGGUACGCGAGCUGGGUUUAGAACGUCGUGAGACAGUUCGGUCCCUAUCUGCCGUGGGCGUUGGAAGAUUGAAAGGGGCUGCUCCUAGUACGAGAGGACCGGAGUGGACGCACCGCUGGUGUUCGGGUUGUCAUGCCAAUGGCACUGCCCGGUAGCUAAGUGCGGAAGAGAUAACCGCUGAAAGCAUCUAAGCGGGAAACUUGCCUUGAGAUGAGUCUUCCCUGACUCUUUAAGGGUCCUAAAGGAACGUUUAAGACGAAGACGUUGAUAGGCUGGGUGUGUAAGCGUAGCGAUACGUUGAGCUAACCAGUACUAAUGAACCGUGAGGCUUAACCUGACAACACCGAAGGUGUUUUAG
rnacentral:rRNA from 1 species